CGCGCCGCCUGGCUCCGCUGCCGCUGCAGGCUGCGGAAGGGAAACUGAGGCUCCGCGGCCCGGGGUGACGCCGGGAUGCCAGCCACCUCGCGGUGCCCCCGCACGUCGGCUCGGUCCCAAGGCCCGGGUGGAGGCGCCCGUCACGGUUGUCCUUCAGCAGCUGCAGCAGUAGCUCCUGCGCCUCGGCCAUGCCCCGGCUCUGCCCGCCGCCGCCGCCGGACCCGCGUCACAAUGGAUGGAGCGCGGGGCGGUUCGGAACCGCUGCUCACGGGCAGCCAUCGGACCGCGCAGGCCGGUGGGUGCUCGCACCUGAAGCAGAAGGCGAGGCUGGCUUGUUCCCGCUCGCUGCCGACGGCACUGCGGACUGAGAAGCCUCCUGUGGGAAAGAGAUCAGGAUCCGUAAACUGGUUCUUAUCUUUGGACCCAAUGAUCCCACUCCUGGGAACUUAAUCUAGGAAGAAAAAAAUAAAAUUCUUAAACCACAACGCGUUAAGUGGGUUCAUUCAGGUGGGUAGUUACAGUCAUCACAAAGAGGACACCACUGUAGUUACUGAAAUGAUAUAUUUUAUGUGGCAUACAUAGAGAUAUGAUGUCUAGUGAAAAAAAGAAUAUGAUUUACUAUGUAUGCUGAAAUAACUAAGAUUGUAAUGUACACGGAUAAGAUCUUUAAAGGAAACAAGAGAAAGACAAGCUAUUUCAUUGGUGAAAUUGCAGGUAAACUUGUCCUUUUAAAGUCGGCUUUCAUUUGGCCAACUUAGACUAUGAAGCUGGAUGCAAAAGUCCUAAAUAAAUUAUUAGCUGACCAAAUCCAAAGGGGUACAUUGAAAAAAAAAAGGUACAUGAAACCAAGAAGACUUUAUUCCAGAGAUUGUUCAAGAUCAGAAAAUUGACGUCAUUCACCACAUGGAUAAAAGAGGGAGAACACCAGCUUCAGUAGAGCAUUUCAGUAGGAGCAGCACGCGGGAUAGAGCUCCUCAUCUGUGGAAAAUUUAAAGAGGGAUCGAAAGGGACUCUAAACUGAUGAAAGCUGCUUAGUAAACACACUCCUUAGGGAGGCAGUAUUAGCAGCCUUCCCGUUAAGAUUUUAAGAGACAAGGAUGACCCUCCUGCUCAGGUCUAACAGUGCUGGAGGACCUACAAGGAAGCAAGAAAAAGAAAUAGGAAAGUCUGAGGAGUCAGCAGAUACAGCUGGGUGCCUACCAUAAAGCUGCCCCUCCUGCACUGCUGGUGGGAAUGUAAAUUAGUGCAGCCAUUUUGGAGAACAGGACGGAGGUUCCUCAUGAAACUAAAGAUAGAGUUGCCGGGACUUCCCUGGUGGCACAGUGGUUAAGAAUCCGCCUGCCGGGCUUCCCUGGUGGCGCAGUGGUUGAGAGUCCGCCUGCCGAUGCAGGGGACACAGGUUCGUGCCCCGGUCCAGGAAGAUCCCACAUGCCACGGAGCGGCUGGGCCCGUGAGCCAUGCCCGCUGAGCCUGUGCGUCCGGAGCCUGUGCUCCACAACGGGAGAGGCCACAACAGUGAGAGGCCCGCGUACCACUAAAAAAAAAAAAAAAAAAAAGAAAAGAAAAAGAAAAAAAGAA